rnacentral:rRNA from 1 species
UACGUAGGGUGCGAGCGUUGUCCGGAAUUACUGGGCGUAAAGAGCUCGUAGGUGGUUUGUCGCGUUGUCCGUGAAAACUCACAGCUUAACUGUGGGCGUGCGGGCGAUACGGGCAGACUGGAGUACUGCAGGGGAGACUGGAAUUCCUGGUGUAGCGGUGGAAUGCGCAGAUAUCUGGAGGAACACCGGUGGCGAAGGCGGCAUCCUGGACCGGCAUUGACGCUGAGGAGCGAAAGCCAGGGGAGCAAACGGG